ensembl:lncRNA
GAGGAAGAGCCUGCUGCACUCUGCAAACAAGCAGAGGUCAGUUCAGCUUAAUUCAUGUAGAAAUGUGUUUGUCCAAAUCUGCAGUUUGUAGAAGGUAAGGUUUUAAUAUCACAGUAAGAAUGAAUUGUGUGUGUGUUUGUGUCAGGUGUGUAUAUCAGAGGUCUGUUCCUUGAUGGGGCGCGCUGGGACAGAAAGACCAAACGUCUUGCUGAGUCCUAUCCCAAAGAGCUGCACGACUCCAUGCCUGUGGGCGCAUUUUGUGAAUCUGUCGGACACGGAUGCCAGUCCAGCACAGCACUUCCUGAGACAGUAGUUGCUAAAACAGGAUCGGUAAAGAGACUAAAGGCGAGGUGUCAGGUCCAUGGAACACCCUGCCCAAAGCCGAGAGCCCGGGAGGCGUGUUCUAUCUGGUAAUCGGGGUGAUGUGACAGGAACAGAUCCAUUUCCACUGUUAUACAUCCAUCACUCCAUCUACCACCCUCGUCAUUCUUCUCAUUUUUUCAAACCUUAAAUUUUUAUCAACAUAGAUUGCCACCUCCCUUUUUAUUAGUCCUAUCUAAGUGGAGGAAUUCAUAUCCCUCUAUCUCAAAAUCCUCUUCUUUUCCAGUGUUUAUCCAAUUCUAUUCUGUAUGACUUAAAGCAUUUAUGACAUGGUCUGAUUUUCUCACCCAAUAAAGGAAUAUUUCAUA